AUUGAACGCUGGCGGCAGGCCUAACACAUGCAAGUCGAACGAGUGGCGGACGGGUGAGUAAUGUCUGGGAAAAUGCCUGAUGGAGGGGGAUAACUACUGGAAACCGUAGCUAAUACCGCAUACCAUCAGAUGUGCCACGGUGGGAUUAGCGUGUUGGUGGGGUAACGGCUCACCAAGUCGACGAUCCCUAGCUGGUCUGAGAGGAUGACCAGCCACAAUGGAAGUGAGACACGGUCCAGACUCCUACGGGAGGCAGCAGUGGGGAAUAUUGCACAAUGGGCGAAAGCCUGAUGCAGCCAUGCCGCGUGUAUGAAGAAGGCCUUCGGGUUGUAAAGUACUUUCAGCGGGGAGGCGUUACCCGCAGAAGAAGCACCGGCUAACUCCGUGCCAGCAGCCGCGGUAAUUC
rnacentral:rRNA from 1 species